rnacentral:rRNA from 1 species
CCUACGGGACGCUGCAGUGGGGAAUAUUGGACAAUGGGCGAAAGCCUGAUCCAGCCAUGCCGCGUGUGUGAAGAAGGCCUUCGGGUUGUAAAGCACUUUCAGUGGGGAAGAAAGCCUUGAGGCUAAUACCCUCGAGGAAGGACAUCACCCACAGAAGAAGCACCGGCUAACUCCGUGCCAGCAGCCGCGGUAAUACGGAGGGUGCGAGCGUUAAUCGGAAUUACUGGGCGUAAAGCGCGCGUAGGCGGUCUGAUAAGCCGGUUGUGAAAGCCCCGGGCUCAACCUGGGAACGGCAUCCGGAACUGUCAGGCUAGAGUGCAGGAGAGGAAGGUAGAAUUCCCGGUGUAGCGGUGAAAUGCGUAGAGAUCGGGAGGAAUACCAGUGGCGAAGGCGGCCUUCUGGACUGACACUGACGCUGAGGUGCGAAAGCGUGGGUAGCAAACAGGAUUAGAUACCCGGGUAGUC